GUGGGGAAUAUUGGACAAUGGGGGCAACCCUGAUCCAGCAAUGCCGCGUGUGUGAAGAAGGUUUUCGGAUUGUAAAGCACUUUCGGCGGGGACGAUGAUGACGGUACCCGCAGAAGAAGCCCCGGCUAACUUCGUGCCAGCAGCCGCGGUAAUACGAAGGGGGCUAGCGUUGCUCGGAAUGACUGGGCGUAAAGGGCGCGUAGGCGGUUGACACAGUCAGGUGUGAAAUUCCCGGGCUUAACCUGGGGGCUGCAUUUGAGACGUGUGGGCUAGUGUGUGAGAGAGGUUUGUGGAAUUCUCAGUGUAGAGGUGAAAUUCGUAGAUAUUGGGAAGAACACCGGUGGCGAAGGCGGCAACCUGGCUCAUAACUGACGCUGAGGCGCGAAAGCGUGGGGAGCAAACAGGAUUAGAUACCCUGGUAGUCC
rnacentral:rRNA from 1 species